AAGGCAUAAGAGACAUCACACACGUACAUAGGUUAGGUUAGGUUAGCAAAAUUAGCCAAAUCGGCCCAGCCGUUCUCAAUUGUUAUUGGCACGCGAGUGCCACGGAAACCAAUAAUAAAAAAUAACCACAUAGAGAGUAUAUUAUCUCUCCAUGGCAAAAUAAUAAUUGUUGAAUAUCGUGCGUGUUAGUAUACUUUGACUUAAGAGGCCAUAACUCCGGAACCA